CUUAAGAUCCUACUCAACUUCCGA
rnacentral:siRNA from 1 species